AUUGAACGCUGGCGGCAGGCCUAACACAUGCAAGUCGAGCGAGAGGCGGACGGGUGAGUAAUGUAUGGGGACUGCCCGAUAGAGGGGGAUAACUACUGGAAACGGUGGCUAAUACCGAAUACUAUCGGAUAACCCAUAUGGGAGUAGCUAGUAGGUGGGGUAAAGGCUCACCUAGGCGACGAUCUCUAGCUGGUCUGAGAAGAUGAUACGCCACGCUGGGACUUAGAGCGGGCCCGUACUCCUACGGAGGCAGCAGUGGGGAAUAUUGCACAAGGGGCGCAAGCCUGAUGCAGCCAUGCCGCAUGUAUGAAGAAGGCCUUAGGGUUGUAAAUGACUUUCAGCGGGGAGGCGUUACCCGCAGAAGAAGCACCUGCUAACUCCGUGCCAGCAGCCGCGGUAAUUC
rnacentral:rRNA from 1 species